rnacentral:rRNA from 1 species
UGGCGGACGGGUGAGUAAUGUCUGGGAAACUGCCCGAUGGAGGGGGAUAACUACUGGAAACGGUAGCUAAUACCGCAUAACGUCGCAAGACCAAAGAGGGGGACCUUAGGGCCUCUUGCCAUCGGAUGUGCCCAUAUGGGAUUAGCUUGUAGGUAAGGUAACGGCUUACCUAGGCGACGAUCCCUAGCUGGUCUGAGAGGAUGAUCAGCCACACUGGGACUGAGACACGGCCCAG